CGAGCGGUACAUUUCUAGCUUGCUAGAAGAUGACGAGCGGCGGACGGGUGAGUAAUACUUAGGAAUCUACCUAGUAGUGGGGGAUAGCUCGGGGAAACUCGAAUUAAUACCGCAUACGACCUACGGGAGAAAGGGGGCAACUUGUUGCUCUCGCUAUUAGAUGAGCCUAAGUCGGAUUAGCUAGAUGGUGGGGUAAAGGCCUACCAUGGCGACGAUCUGUAGCUGGUCUGAGAGGAUGAUCAGCCACACCGGGACUGAGACACGGCCCGGACUCCUACGGGAGGCAGCAGUGGGGAAUAUUGGACAAUGGGGGAAACCCUGAUCCAGCCAUGCCGCGUGUGUGAAGAAGGCCUUUUGGUUGUAAAGCACUUUAAGCAGUGAAGAAGACUCUUCGGUUAAUACCCGGAGACGAUGACAUUAGCUGCAGAAUAAGCACCGGCUAACUCUGUGCCAGCAGCCGCGGUAAUACAGAGGGUGCAAGCGUUAAUCGGAAUUACUGGGCGUAAAGCGAGCGUAGGUGGCUUGAUAAGUCAGAUGUGAAAUCCCCGGGCUUAACCUGGGAACUGCAUCUGAUACUGUCAGGCUAGAGUAGGUGAGAGGAAGGUAGAUUUCCAGGUGUAGCGGUGAAAUGCGUAGAGAUCUGGAGGAAUACCGAUGGCGAAGGCAGCCUUCUGGCAUCAUACUGACACUGAGGC
rnacentral:rRNA from 1 species